GUGCAAAUGAUGUAGACUGAUUCUGCUGAAUAAUGUGAUGUUCAAAGGAACCACUGAUGCAC
rnacentral:snoRNA from 1 species